rnacentral:rRNA from 1 species
GACAGAGGGUGCAAACGUUGUUCGGAAUUACUGGGCGUAAAGCGAGUGUAGGCGGUCUCAAAAGUCGGGUGUGAAAGCCCUGGGCUCAACUGGGGAGGGUCACGCGAUACUGAUCGACUCGAAGGCAGGAGAGGGUAGUGGAAUUCCCGGUGUAGUGGUGAAAUGCGUAGAUAUCGGGAGGAACACCAGUGGCGAAGGCGACUACCUGGCCUGUUCUUGACGCUGAGGCGCGAAAGCUAGGGGAGCAAACGGG